rnacentral:lncRNA from 1 species
UCGCUGCUAUACUUCUGGAAGAGCAAGGGAGAUGAAUGGUUUCACUGGCAGUCUGGCUGCUUUUGUAAUGCCUUGGAAUGCCACAGAGCUCUUGGAAACCAGAAGGGUGGCACACGGCUGCCAGAGUGUGUCUUGUGUGGACUAGGAGAAGUCAGCUGAAAUGGCAGGCUGGCUCACACUGAGCUCUUAGCCGCUGUCGCAGUAAGGGAUGGAAGCAGAAGGUGGAAAGCUGGAGAAGCUCCGAUCUCUCACUGGAGAGAGGGGAG